UAAGAGGUCUCGCCUGCCCAGUGACUAAUAUGUUCAACGGCCGCGGUAUUUUGACCGUGCGAAGGUAGCGUAAUCACUUGUCUUUUAAAUGGGGACCUGUAUGAACGGCACAACGAGGGCUCUACUGUCUCCUCUUUCAAGUCAAUGAAAUUGAUCUUUCCGUGCAGAAGCGGGAAUAUGAACAUAAGACGAGAAGACCCUAUGGAGCUUUAGACACCAGGACAGCCCAUGUCAAUUACCCCAAAUAAGGGACAUAAACUGAAUGGCCCCUGCCCUAAUGUCUUUGGUUGGGGUGACCGCGGCGAAAAACGUAACCUCCGCGUGGAACGGGAGAACCUUACAUUUACUUAAUGCUCCUCCAACUAAGAGCGACAGCUCUAAGAAACAAAACUUUUGACCAAAAUUGAUCCGGCAAUGCCGAUCAACGGACCGAGUUACCCUAGGGAUAACAGCGCAAUCCCCUUUUAGAGCCCCUAUCAACAAGGGGGUUUACGACCUCGAUGUUGGAUCAGGACAUCCUAAUGGCGCAGCCACUAUUAAGGGUUCGUUUGUUCAACG
rnacentral:rRNA from 1 species